rnacentral:lncRNA from 1 species
CCGGAUUCCGGCGAAUUUUGUAAUUGCUUGUUCUCCUUCGUUUCUCAACCGUUUUCUUCGAAUUUUAUAUCAAUUUGAAGCCCUCAACAUGUAGUUUCAUGCUUUACUACUUUAAGGCAAAAAAAAUCACGAAAUCUCACCGGAGAAAUCCCACGAAAACCGGCCAACUUUGAACGUGGUGAUCCCGACGUCCAAAACUUCCAAACGAAAGUCCCUGAGCUUCCUUAGAACCUCCCUAAGCUCACUAUAAGCUUGGAUUGUCCUAAAAAUCAACCAACACUAAGUUCAUGAACAGUGCCUAAAUCGGUGCUUAUGGUUUCGACAUGAAAUCGAAAGAUUUCUUACCUGAAAUGAGUGUGGUUGAGUUCGUAGAGUCCUCACGAGCACGAUGGUGUCUUCAAAAUCCUCGAUCUAUGAAGAUUCAGGGGGCUUUGGCGUUGGUCCGUACGGUUCGAGAAUGAGAGAGAGACUGAAUGGAGAGGAGAGAGAGAGACACGGGGAAGGAAAGGGAAAAAUGUCCCGAGGGUGUGUGUGGUCACCAAACAAAUCCCACGUCAAACCCUAACCACACAAAUUUACAAAACCAUUUUUUUUUUUUCCAAACUUAAAUUAUUUUCCAAGAACUUAGGGGUAUAUAUAUAUUUAACCAAUAAUGUGACACACGUACCUUAGUCCCCGCUAAGGGUAAUUCCAUCAUUUCACGUUCCCGAUAUAGAAUUUUUGGGACGGGCUGUGACAUGAUACUCCCACUAUGCUUGUAAAACGUUUUUAAAGCAAGAAUAUAUGGUACUACUAACAUAAGGUUUGCAUUCAUUGAUGGACUAUAUAGUUGCCUUAGGGCCUUAGGAUGACUAUGAACCUUUGAUUCAAUCCAACACGAGCCUAGUGUUGAAUCUCGGUCCAGGGAUGGUGAUUGAUUUUAGUUACGCGUUUAAUCACAUUAAGGUGUGUUUUUCCUAUUGGGCAUUGGACCCAACUACUCCAAUUUCAUGCAUAUCAAAUUAAACAAGAAAGGAGUACUUCAAAGUAAAGAAGAGCUUAUGCUCUUUUACAACAUUUGAUCAAAACAAAUUACUUUAAAGUAAAGAAGAGCUUAUGCUCUUUUACAACAUUUGAUCAUAUCAAAUUACAACCAAAAUCUAAUCUACACAUUCCCAUGGUUAAAACAAAUUUGAGACGGGCCUUUCACAUAGCUCAAUUAUCGUAGGCUUAGGUUCAUAAUCACCCUUUCUUUAAUUAAUUAACGCUUUAACUAAUAAACUUGAAUGCAACAUUUUCAUUUGGUUUUUGUUUCCAUAGAAUUGAUUUAAAUGGAGCUAAAUGAAAUGAAAAUCCAAUUCUCAUUUAAAGAUACAAAACUAUAUUGUUCUCAACUAAUUUGGGCCGAAAAGCAAUAACCUCAACCAUUGGGCUAUUUUGCAAAACACAAACUUUUGAGGUCCCUUUGUAAAAACACAAAAGUCCACUACUUCAUGUAAUUACAACUAGAACCCAAAAAUUUCAACAAAUGCAAAAACUUCAUUAAAGGAGAAAAACAAAUUGUCCUUUAGUGAUUUUGGGCAUUUACGUAAAAACGUAAACUUUCGGGUCAAAGUACAAAUACACAAAAGUAUCAAAACUUUAUGUAAUUGCAUAAAAGCCCCAAUAGUACCCUAUUUAAUAGGGUGGCCUAUUUUGGAUGAGAGAUGGUGUCAUAAAACUUUUGAAUUUUUCAACAAAAGCGAAAGGUGAUGGAUAGGUUUGAAAAAGUGAUUUCCAUAAAACAUGGUUCCUUGAAACAAGGAAAAUGUGUAAGUGAUUGGUAUGGUAUUGAUUGAAAAAUGACAAAUCAUGUCAUACCAUUUAUUACAAUAAAGUCACACCAACCACCAUAAAUAAAACUUUAUGAAAAACAUCAAACACUUUGAAUCAAAACACCAAACUUUUUUGUUCUUGGUUAGAACAUAACAAGAACAAUGAAGAACAUCCAUGAAAACCUAUAAGAGCUCCAUGAACAUUUUUCACCCAAAGACACCCCAAAAACUCUCAAACUUAAGGGAAAAACCAUAUUACCAUACUAGGGUACUUAGGGGUUCCUAAUGUCACUUUAAAACACUUUUAACAAGACAAACAUGAACUCAAAAAUCCACCCUUUGAAUUUGGCCGAAUUUCCCCAAAAAUAUGGCACCAAAUUUUAGCUCCAAAAUUCAUGCUCAUAUGAACUACAUCUACAACAUUUGAGAUGGCAAAUUUUCUAACAAAAUUUACAUUCAAAGAAGCAAGAAUAAAGCUUGUAACAAUUACAACAUUCAAAUCAUAAACUAUGAAAAUACAAAACCCAAAAGGAUUCACAACCUACUAGACCUAGGCUCUGAUACCACUUGAAGGAAAUUUUACGAAAAACAUGUUCAUUUGAGCAACAUCU